UAAAACAGUUAUAGUUUAUUUGAUACAUUAAAUGGAUAACUGUAGAAAAACUAGAGCUAAUACAUGCCAAGACCGCAAGGUUGUAUUUAUUAGAUAUACCAAGUGGGUGAAUCAUAAUAACUUUUCAAAUCGCAGCCACGCUGCGAUAAAUCAUUCAAGUUUCUGCCCUAUCAUGCUUUCGAUGGUAGUGUAUUGGACUACCAUGGCUCUCACGGGUAACGGGGAAUUAGGGUUCGAUUCCGGAGAAGGAGCCUGAGAAACGGCUACUACAUCUAAGGAAGGCAGCAGGCGCGUAAAUUACCCAAUCCUGACUCAGGGAGGUAGUGACAAGAUAUAACGACGCGACUAAAAAUCGCGAUUGUAGUGAGGGUAUUCCAAACCGAACCACUAGUACAAUUGGAGGGCAAGUCUGGUA
rnacentral:rRNA from 1 species